rnacentral:rRNA from 2 species
UGGGGAAUUUUGGACAAUGGGCGAAAGCCUGAUCCAGCAAUGCCGCGUGUGUGAAGAAGGCCUUCGGGUUGUAAAGCACUUUUGUCCGGAAAGAAAUGGCUCUGGUUAAUACCUGGGGUCGAUGACGGUACCGGAAGAAUAAGGACCGGCUAACUACGUGCCAGCAGCCGCGGUAAUACGUAGGGUCCAAGCGUUAAUCGGAAUUACUGGGCGUAAAGCGUGCGCAGGCGGUUGUGCAAGACCGAUGUGAAAUCCCCGAGCUUAACUUGGGAAUUGCAUUGGUGACUGCACGGCUAGAGUGUGUCAGAGGGGGGUAGAAUUCCACGUGUAGCAGUGAAAUGCGUAGAGAUGUGGAGGAAUACCGAUGGCAAAGGCAGCCCCCUGGGAUAACACUGACGCUCAUGCACGAAAGCGUGGGGAGCAAACAGG